UACAGUCUGUGUUUAAAAAUGAACCGGCUCAGCAUCUCCCCCUGUGACUCCGGGACCAGCCGGCAGCUCCCCAGCGGAGGGUAGAAGACACCAAGGACGCGGCCAUCCUUCACCAGGGAGCUCCUGCAGAGUCCUCGCGCAGGGAGGAAGCCCGGCUCCGUGGAUCAGGCAAAUUCAGGAAGAGAACCGGCGAAGCCCACCUGGCCCACAGGAACGGCAGGAGAGAAAGGUGGAAGGUGUCUCGGAUCUCCGCUGGCCGGUGGAGAGGCCGCCCACAGACGGGAGCCUCAGACAAACCGCAUUUAAGCACCCUUUAGUAGGUAACUCGUGCGCUCCAGACGGCCCACAGAGCUCGUCUACUCGUGGGGGGACCACAUAUGCCCAAAGAAGUCAAGAAUGGAAGGUGCCGAGCCAGCGAGGGCAGUCAAGAUGGGCCUCGGGUAGAAGCUGGCUCUGAGGCGAGCCUAGAAGGAAACUGAAGGUAAGAGCCUGGAUUCCAGGGUGCAGGUGGGGCAAAGAGGCAGAGGGAAGAGACGGAGCGCCCUGCGUGGAGGACUCCAAUGCCCAGACCUGGGAGGAGGGCACGGUGUUUCCUGUCAUCUUUCACAGGUCUCCGGGACAUAGACAGGCUCCAUCAAGGGAGGCUCCAUUCAAGUGGUCUGCUGGGAAGUUUACUUGUUCAUCUAUAUCAAGGCCUUACAGAGCACAACAAGGUUCUCUGUAGACAAUAGGUCUUUAAUUAAAUACAGUGAAUGGGAGGGCCCUGUAAUUAGAAGAAAGAGAGAAAGAAAGAAGAAAGAAAGAAGAAAGAAAGAAAGAAAGAAAGAAAGAAAGAAAGAAAGAAAGAAAGAAAGAAAGAAAGAAAGAAAGAAAGAAAGAAAGAAAGAAAGAAAGAAAGAAAGAAAGAAGAAAGAAGAAAGAAAGAAAGAGACAGAAAGAAAGAAAGAAAGAAAGAAAGAAAGAAAGAAAGAAAGAAAGAAAGAAAGAAAGAAAGAAAGAAAGAAAGAAAGAAAGAAAGAAAGAAAGAGAAAGAAAGAAAGAAAGAAAGAAAGAAAGAAAGAAAGAAGAAAGAAAGAAAGAAAGAAAGAAAGAAAGAAAGAAAGAAAGAAAGAAAGAAAGAAAGAAAGAAAGAAAGAAAGAAAGAAAGAAAGAAAGAAAGAAAGAAAGAAAGAAAGAAAGAAAGAAAGAAAGAAAGAAAGAAAGAAAGAGAAAGAAAGAAAGCCAUAUAAUUAGUAAAGCAACCUGAAGGAAGGGAGAAUGCAUGAGAUGAUGGGACAAAUUGAUGACAAUUUGUUCAGCUUUCCUGCUCUCCCAAAUGGAUUCUAAGAUGGUUUGGAGUCAGUGAAAUAGGAAGUUAAGGGGGAAAGCUCAUCCUCCUAUCUAUAUCUGUCAUCUUUCUUUUCAUCUGUACAUCCUCCAGAUAUCUGAGUGGCCAGAGAGCUGAUGAAGGGAUCUGGAAGACUUGGACCCCAGUUGUGUCUCUUCUCCACCCUGUCUGUAUAAUCUUGGACAAGUCACUUAAACACUUAGUGCCUCAGACAACUCUCUAAGACCAGAAGUGAUAGAGGCAUCACUGAUGUCUGUCCAUGUGCCAAACCCUGAGGAAAUGAAUAAAGAUGAAAGCUAGAACUCA
rnacentral:lncRNA from 1 species